rnacentral:rRNA from 1 species
UACGUAGGUGGCAAGCGUUGUCCGGAAUUAUUGGGCGUAAAGCGCGCGCAGGCGGUCCUUUAAGUCUGAUGUGAAAGCCCACGGCUCAACCGUGGAGGGUCAUUGGAAACUGGGGGACUUGAGUGCAGAAGAGGAAAGCGGAAUUCCACGUGUAGCGGUGAAAUGCGUAGAGGUCAUGAGGAAGACCAGUGGCGAAGGCGGGUCUCUGGACAGUUCCUGACACUGAGACACGAAGGCCAGGGGAGCAAACGGG